rnacentral:rRNA from 1 species
UCCCUCAGUAACGGCGAGUGAAGCGGGAAGAGCCCAGCACCGAAUCCCCCGGCCGUUGGGCCGGCGGGAACUGUGGUGUGCGGGACGCCACCAGCCGCGCGGGCGGGUGCCCAAGUCCUCCUGAUCGAGGCCUCUCCCAUGGCGGGUGUAAGGCCUUUGCAGGUGCCGGCGCGCGCGGCCGCGAGCGUCCCAGGAGUCGGGUUGUUUGGGAAUGCAGCCCAAAGUGGGUGGUAAACUCCAUCUAAGGCUAAAUACUGGCGCGAGUCCGAUAGCGAACAAGUACCGUGAGGGAAGGUU